UGUAGAAUCAGCUAAAUAAGCUAUUGGGUUCAUGCCCCAACAAUGAAUUUAUUAAUUCUUCUACUA
rnacentral:tRNA from 1 species